rnacentral:rRNA from 1 species
UACGUAGGGUGCGAGCGUUGUCCGGAAUUACUGGGCGUAAAGAGCUCGUAGGUGGUUUGUCGCGUUGUUCGUGAAAACUCACAGCUCAACUGUGGGCGUGCGGGCGAUACGGGCAGACUGGAGUACUGCAGGGGAGACUGGAAUUCCUGGUGUAGCGGUGGAAUGCGCAGAUAUCAGGAGGAACACCGGUGGCGAAGGCGGGG